rnacentral:rRNA from 1 species
GAGGGUUGAUAGGUUAAGAGCUAGGUUUGCUGACGUUACUCGCAGAAUAAGCACCGGCUAACUCCGUGCCAGCAGCCGCGGUAAUACGGAGGGUGCGAGCGUUAAUCGGAAUUACUGGGCGUAAAGGGUGCGUAGGUGGUUAGAUAAGUUAUCUGUAAAAUCCCUGGGCUUAACCUGGGCAUGUCAGAUAAGACUGUUUGACUCGAGUAUAGGAGAGGGUAGUGGAAUUUCCGGUGUAGCGGUGAAAUGCGUAGAGAUCGGAAGGAACACCAGUGGCGAAGGCGGCUACCUGGCCUGAUACUGACACUGAGGCACGAAAGCGUGGGGAGCAAACAGGAUUAGAUACCCUGGUAGUCCACGCUGUAAACGAUGUCAACUAGCUGUUGGUCAUAU